GUAGCCAUAUCAUGUUGAAACACUGGUUCUCUUCCAAUCACCAAAGUUAAGCAACAUUGAGCCAGGUCAGUACUCAGAUGGGUAAACGGUGGGGAAUACUAGGUACUGUCAG